CAAAAAGCCCCUCCACCACCACCACCACCACCUCCUCCAGGCAGUGAGACGACUGGGUGCGUCCGGACAGGGCAUUCUGUUCUUAAGGUUUGCCUGUGGCCUGAGGGAAGAAGCAGUGACGGAGUAGAUCCCCACUGUGGGAAAAAAAGAAAGAAGACACAGAGCAGAGUCCUGCUGUCAUGUCUUUGUGUGUUAAGUAAUCAGAGGCAGCACGCUGAGAGAUUGUCACGGUAUCACUGCAGGGGGUUAAACUGCCACUUGGCUGCCAGUUUCAACCUGGUUAUCACUUGGGUGGGCCUCGGGGUAGAGAGGGAAGGCACAACAAGAUGAGUCAGGCAGCACCAACAGCAGACACCAACUGGAAAUCACUUAAAGGGGGCAAAAACGGAUCCCAGGGGAGCAGGUGUGACAAAGCUAAAAUGAGAACAAUUCUGUUGACGUGGGGAGAAAGAAAAUAACUAUUUAUAGAUGCAAAAGAGACCACCAGGAAAAAGCCAUCUCUCAAUAAACCGUCGUCACUACAUACAAAAUCUUCCAUCGGAUGAGCAGGUCCAGACCAUCCUCUUUGAGUAUAUGAGACAAUUCCCACCCUGAGCACGAGCAGGCACUUGACGAACUGGCAAGGAAAAACGUCCUAAUUUUAAGAGGCAGAAACCUCGAGCAGAACCCGGCUCUAGAAAUCUGGAGGAGGAUUAAGGAUGCUAACAAAAAAAAAGGGGUAAAUAAAGCAAGACUGGAUUCAUAAAGGACACUGACAAAGAUUUGGACUCUUUUCGCUGCAUUUUCCAUGGCGAACAUAUAUAACAUAUCAAAAGAUACU